rnacentral:rRNA from 1 species
GCUAAAUUAGUAAAAGUUAUGUUCUUGAAAAUUAAAAAAUUUGGCGGUAUUUUAGUCUUUUCAGAGGAACCUGUCCUGUAAUUGAUAGUCCACGAUUAGAAAAACUUUAUUUAUUAAUUUAUAUAUCGUUGUAGUUUGAAUAUUUUAAGAGAAGUUAAAUAUUCAUGAUUUUAAAUUAAAAAAUAAAUCAGAUCAAGGUAUAGUUUAUAAUAAAGUAGAGAUGGGUUACAUUAAAAAUAUUUAAGGAUAAUUUUUUUUAAAAGGAUUUGAAUGUGGAUUUGAAAGUAAUUAUAAAUAUA